GGUAGUCCACGCCCUAAACGAUGAGUACUAGAUGUUGGGAACUUGAUUUUCAGUGUCGCAAGGUAACCCGGUAAGUACUCCGCCUGGGUAGUACGGUCGCAAGGCUAAAACUCAAAGGAAUUGACGGGGACUCACACAAGCAGUGGAGCAUGUGGUUUAAUCCGAUAUGACGCGUAGAACCUUACCAGGGCUUGACAUGUUCGGCAAAACUGGGAAACCUAGCGGAGGUUAUCCGAACACAGGUGUUGCAUGGCCAUCGUCAGUUCGUGUCGUGGGAUGUUGGGUUAAG
rnacentral:rRNA from 1 species